rnacentral:lncRNA from 10 species
GUUGCCCUGGAAGAGCUUCUUUGGCCUCAGGGAAUGUCAAGAAGUUGGGUAAAAUGAAAGGGAGAGAUCUGUCAUCUGACACUGAGCUUCUUUGAGGAAACUUCAUUCAGUCAUUCAACAAAUAUGUAUUGAGCUUCAGUUCCCUAGAGGCAACAAUCCAGAUGCAAUCUGCUCUCUGGAUUUAUGAUUUAAUGGAGCACACAGAUCCUACCAACUUCACUUCUUGGCCUUAUAGGAAGGAGCCACAGUCCCAAAGAAGUCUGGGGAGAGCAGGAUGUGGCAGAGAACAAUGAUCGGUGCCUUGUUUCAGGAGGCAAACGUGGCCCAAUCCAGGGAAAUCAGCAGAUGGCAUGUCAUGGCCAUCGCAGAUCUGAGGAGCUGGCCUUUGGGUGAUUUCUGGUCCACAUGACAAACAUUCAAGGUGAAUUAGAGGAGAAAAGCUACAUGAAGUGAUGUGCAAGUUGAAAAGAGAAAAGGGUGUGGUGCUAUCCAGGAACCAUCUAACGAAAAACCUCUUGCAAGGCAGAUUGAGAAUUUUAAAACAACACUCUCCGACCCAACUGCCCCGUGACAUCUGUUAACACAAAAGGCAGAACUAUUUCCAGGAAAAGCUCUCAGUGUUUGCAAGGGUGAGACCCUUCUGAUGUUUUUGCAACUUUAGUUAAAGAGCCGAGGGAUGGAUUCACAUCCUCGGCAUUUCCCAUGGGGGAACUCACAGACCGGUUGUACACAAUGGUGUACAUUCAAAUGAAAAGAGAAAAAGUCAAUCAGUUAUCCAGAUGUUUUUGAAUUGUACCUGGACAUAGCCACAGUGGGGAUUUGGUCCAUGGUAAUAAUAUAUUAUUCUUGCAAGAUGGUGAGAGAAAAAUGUUCUGAAAGGAAAAAGAAUGUGUUUUCUUCAUACCCUUUUAUACUUUCUUCUCCUUUUGGGGUUUAUGUUUAACAGCAUCCAGCAAAACAGAACAUGGAGACUGAGGACAGAAAAGAGAAAGAAGCGUAGGGCAAGACCCCUCCUCCAAAUUGCAGUCCUUUAGGAAUUUCUGGAGAGGUAACCUGGGGUCUCCCCAAGCUUCCUGCAGCCCAACCAACCAACCCACCAACCUGGCUGAUGCAUAUGUGGAAUAUCGGCUUCCUGUUCUCUGAAGGGCAAAAAGGACACUGAAGUAUAGCCUACAGGCUCUGCGGCCCAAAGCUCAUUAAGAAGAUAAUAGAUUUAGGCCAGCCGCAGUGGCUCACGCCUGUAAUCCUAGCAUUUUAGGAGGCCUAGGUGGGUGGAUUGCCUGAGCUCAGGAGUUCGAGAUCAGCCUGGGCAACAUGGUGAAACCUCGUCUCUACUGAAAUACAAAAAAUUAGCCAGGCCUGAUGGUGUACGCCUGUAGUUCUAGCUACUCGGGGGGCUGAGGCAGGAGAAUUGCUUGAACUGGGGAGACGGAGGUUUCAGUGAGCUGAGACUGCAUCACUGCACUCCAGCCUGGGUGACAGAGCAAGACUCUGUCUCAAAAAAAAAAAAAAAAAAAAGAAGAAGAAGAUAAUAGAUUUAGAAGACACACAAAUAAUUGUUUAAAAGAAUGGCCCUAAUGUGCUGCAGUCUGAGGUGGAAGGUUAGUAAGGUCUGGACUUCCUCGGAAUAUGACUGAGUUUUCAGAUCACGUGAGACGUCUUCAUGGAAGACAUUGAGGUAGUUACCACAUCUUCUGGAUGUCCCACAGCCAACAGCAUAUCAAUUUGGGUGAGUUUUAAAGAUUUGGCCCUGAUAAUGGCACCCUGACUUGAAGUCCCUGAGAACCCAGGGAUAUUUAGGAAGGUCAUAUGACUUCCAAAGGGUCCCUGAUUGAAUGCUUUCUCUCCUAAUCAUGGGGAAGAGGGUGGCACAGCAUGGGGCUAAAUCCUCACUCCAUCCUUACUCAUGUUCAAACAAUCCCAGACUUACUGAUCCAUGAAAUGUGUCUCAGGUGUGUCUGUGGUUUCUGGGUUAGGAAGUAAAUGGACUUUUGCAAUUCUUUCUUAUAUAAAUAGGAAAACUGAGAUUUAGAAAAGUUGUGACAUGCCCAAGAUUGUGACAAAGCCAAAUAAGAACUUGGUUCUCUGAACUUUCAGGCUCCUUCAGACAUUAAAAGCAGGAAUUGGAUUAGUGUAGCUGCCGGAGGUUUCCCACUGUCUCCACUCCCAGUUUCCACGUGCAUUUCCUCUGGUGCUCAUCAAGUGUACAGUGCUGCUGUGGUGAGAAUUUGUCAAAUGAGUCUCCAGUCUCAGAAGGUCUAUGUAAAUGGGGUUUCAAGUCAUCACAGGGACUGAAUUUAGUCUCAAGUACCAUAAAGAAAAUACUUUUAAAGCUCUUCUAAAAAUAAAGCUCCUCUGAAGAGAUGUUUGGCCUGUGGCUAAUGUGUUUGGAAACAUGUUUUCUGUAAAACUCAACCUUAUUCAUCUACUUGCAAAUCCAGAAAGACAACUUUCACUACACACAUCAGGGCUUGUCCCAAAUUUUCCCUACUCACAGUGGAAGAUGCCGGGGUGUGAACCAUUGGCUUAAGGUGCCUCUGCCUCCCUUUCCCCAAAACAGUUUAGGAAGGGAGGGUUUGGGUCUAGUGUCCAGCCUGGGCUCAGCUUUGGAUGCUGGCAACCUGGACCUAGGCACACCAGGGAGGCUGCUUUCUUUGCCCUUGUCUUGCCACUUCCCAUCUCCCAUGUCAUAGGAGGAGCUUGGAAGGAGCUGAAGGCCGUCACCUUCCUACAAAGCAGAGAGAUCCUCUCUCCAAGAACGGCUUUUGCUGCCCUCUGGGUCCUGCUAUUUCCAUGGCUCCUGAAGAAUCAGCCUCUGAUAUUUCAAUUGCCCCUUCAUCAGAACUGUCAAACCUGGUGAAUCUCUUCUCUUUUUCUCUGGCUCACUCUCUCUAAAACACGCAUCUUAAACAAGUUUUAAAAUCCCUGAAGAAUGGCAGAAAUACAAAGAACUCAAUUCCAAAUAAUAUUGUCAUGUUCUGCUGCAUAGUUGAGGUAAUCACCGUUAAGUAAGUGCAGGUAUGGGUGACUCUCUAAGACAAGGAUGAAAGUACAGUGGACAGGUGAGCCCAUGGCCCAGGACUCAGGCACUCACAGCCUCCCACGUUUCUUCUCUAUUUCACAAUUGCUGAUCCAAGGCGGGAGGGGUGCCAUUCAUGUGUGGCAUUCACAUGAGAGAGGUGGGCAUUGUGGGUCCUCAGUGCAGGGCCUGUUGUGUCCUCAAUGAACCCAGGAUUGAGUCCCACAGUGGACAGACUUUGCCAACUUUUAUAAAUCUCUCUCAAGACACUCUCCUCCAAUAUUGCACCUUGAACUGAUGUAAUUUCUUGUAGCGAAAAAAUUAAAAUCUAUCCUUUUUGACCUUCAUAUGCAACAUGCAUAUCAAGAGAGUUGUCUUAGCAGCAGCAAUUUUAUAUUGGGAGAUUUGAGCAUGGACUGGCUGUUGGGAGAGCUUUAUGAGGCAUUCCAUGAUGUCUUGGCUUUAAUUUUGCUUUUAUUUUGAUGUGACAAGAUGUGUUGGACUGAGAUGCCUUUGGGCUCUAGCCCUGGAAUUUACAAAAAGAGAAUACUGCAGGGUUAUGGUGGGGGUGAGGCUGGAAGAUGUUACCCACUCACAAAGCUUCAGCACAGCAACAUAUGUUAGAAGAAUAAACUAACAUUGGAACAGUAAAUACACACAUACACACACACACACACACACAUACACACACACACACACAGAGUGGGAGAGAGUGAGAGAGAGUGCAAAGCCAGUGUUAAAUCCUGGACAUCCCUGCAGGGUCCUCAUGCCUGCCUUUUUCUCUUAGUCUUGUGGGGGUGGGGAAACUCUUUGGUAUUCUCCUUUCUCACUUGUAGGAAUAUAAGGAGGAAAGGAACCAGAAGUAAAGUGUCUGGGCCUCUCUCAGCCAUGCUUUUCAUUUCCACUUAUUAUCUAAAGUAAUUCAUUACUACUUCUGUGCUCUCUUUUCAUCUUUUCCUUGAGCCUCCCCUGAGCUCCCUUGAAGGUGGCAGGUGACAGGCUGGCUUGACCAGAACAAAGACAGUUAUCCCUGGCUGCCGCCUGUUUCCCAAUGGGUGCCUGCCCUGUCUUGUUACACUUCCUCUGUGUGUCUAAUUUACACUGCAAGCCCUCUGGGCAGUGGCUUUUUUUUUCUUUUUUAAAAAAUUAUCUGCUCUUCUCUGCUUACGACUGAAGUUUAACUUCUGCACCCCAACUCCUCCUCAUUCUUAAGAAAAUGCCAACAGAAAAAUAUUAAAAUGAUUGCUGCUGUAUGUAAAGACAGAAGGGUAAAACCGAGGCACUGGAGGCUUUGGGUGGGUAUUGAUGGAGGUCUGGGAGCAGCUGGUGAUUGACAGGGAGAAGAGCUGAAUUAGUUAAGGAAGGGUCUCCUGGGUUUUGCUGGGAGUGGUGGCCAGACACAGACAAGGACAAGGAAGAAGGCCAGGACCUCUGAUUGCUUUUCUCAGAACAGAAAAGAUAUUAUUAUUUGAACCUAGAGGCUGGGCAGUUUCCUGUCAUAGAAAAACUGACUGGCCUCAUGGCCAGAGAAAGGUACCAACUACUUUCUUUGGUAUUUAUGGUUCUCGUAUCCAACGUAGGAAGUUAGGGCUAGACAACAUCUGGAAGUAUCUGGUAGAAGUAUCUAUUUAUUUAAAUCAUCCAUCCAUUCAUCUAUCCAUCCAUUCAUCCACUGAUCCAUCCAUCCACAAUGAUUAACUGCAGUGAAAGAGAAGACAUUUUUAGAAGAUAAAUGUGGUCAAAUGUCCUAAAGUUUUAUUCGCUUGCAUGCAAGUAACCGUGAUGUGUCUGGAGGACUGGAGGGCUGGAAAUGAAAGGAGAAAAGCAAUUAUCUGGGCCCAUGGAUUUGGGAAGCAGAUAUGGGGAUCCUCUCACUGCUGACAGAGCCCCAGUAAAGCAUCUGGAAGGGUUUUAAACAGAAUGAGGGUGUAACAAUGACAGACGUAUUCUUCCUCCUUCAAAAUCCACAACAAAAUAAACAACCACCACCA